GGAGAGUGGGGAAAGGACAUGUGCCGUCUCCAAGGCUGUUGUUAAAAUUAACACAAACCCCCCGAGGCCCGUCGUCACAGGUGGAGGCUCCGUCGCGGGGAGGGGCCGCCGCCCUGACUCGCCCCGCGCCCGGGGCUGCCCUCACCGGGGUCCCGGGAUGGGAGCGAGGUCGGGCUCGGCGUCCGCGGGCUGCGGCUCCGGGGAGCGUCGCCAGACCGCGGAGGACCCCACGAGCCCUGCAAUCCCGAAAGGCGCUCGGAGCCUCCCAAGGAGGGGCACUGCUCACCGCGCCCUCCCCAGGGAGCGCCGCAAGGAGCAAGCGCACGUGCGCCCGGCCCGGCCCGGCCCCGCCGCGAGCCCCCGCCCCCGCCCCCGCCCCCGCCCCGGCCCCGGCCCCGGCCCCGGCGCCCCCCGCAGCCGCGGGAUGGGAGUGUCCUCUCGGCGGGGACGCCGGCCCGCCCACCGCGCCUGCAGCCGCCUCCCUCCGUCCUGACUCUCCGCCCGGCCGCCCCGCCAGGGGCGCGCGGCCGCCGUCCGCCCGCCUGCAAGGUAGGGGCCCCCUGCCCCCUGCCCCCUGCCCCCCUGCCCCCCUGCCCCCCGCCCGCGCCCCCCGCGCCCCGCGCCCCCCGCGCCUCCUCCGUGCGCCCGGCGCCCGCAGCCCAGCGGGAGGAGCCUCCCCGCCGCCCCGGGACCGGCCCCGACCUCCCCCCCGGGUCCGCGAGCAGAGCCGUGCCCCCCCCCCCCCCGCCCGGCCACGUCCCCCGCUGCGGGCUCGGGCCUCCGCGGUCUGGGCGCCUGGGCCGCGGCACCUCCUCCGCCCGCUGCCCGGGGGGGUCCGUGCACCCGGGGCCAGCGCGGGGGCGGGGGCGGGGGGUGGGGGGGGCGCUCCCUCCGGGCGGGCCGGGGCCUGGGCAGGGGCCGCGAGGGGACGGGGCGGGCGCGCGAGUCCCGGGGACCCGCUUGGGGACCCUCCCGGCUCCGAGCUCCGCGGCGCGGGGCUCCCACGUGCGGGGGGCGGGGGCUCGAGGUCUGGACGAUUCCCAGUUUUUUUCUUGGAAAAAUGUCCAGGCAGCCCCCCUUCCGCCCAGAACGGGACCUAACGCCGCAAGCACCGAGGCGGGGGGGGCCCCGCGGGGCGCCCCGAGGCCCUUGCUCCCGCGCCUCCCGGGCCGCCGCCGCCCUGGCCCCGCUGGGCUUCUGGCCCAAAGGAAGCUCCGGGGACGGUUUCUGGAAACUCCAAACAGCCCUGGAGCCUCGUUAGGGGACCUCAGCCGGGUCGAUUGCCCCUUGGCUGCUGUGGAGGCUGUGAUGACCUCCAGGGCCGCGGCCCUCCGGGCGAUGCUUCUCCAGGGGCUGAGGCCAACGCAGAACUCCCGUGGCACCCACUCGGACUCGCGGCGUGUUCACAUGUGGGGUUUUAUUAAAUCCUCCCACCAACCGUGUGAGACAGGAACAGUUAGCCCCGGUGUGUCCGCCAAGAUUGCCCCGCACAAGUGGCUCCGGAUGGAUCACACGAAGGUGUCCUGUAACCUGCUAUGAGAUUCGCCUUGGGGGACCAGAAGUUCUCCCCAUCAAGAUCGCCAGAGCUGGGAAGAAUGGGAAGAGCCUGGGUGGCAAGAACUGGGAGGCUGUGGUGCCACAGAGGGGCCAGCUGGGGGCUCUUGUGGAGACUCAUAGUGACAAAGUUUCUCACAGAGCUCCAUGUCUUUGGGAGCACCCUUUUGGUUAAUAGAGAUAUUCUAUAUCCAUACUUUUAAAAUUCUAAAUAUUUAGAGGUUUUGCCUUUUAGGUUUUCUGCCCCACAAACACGUAAUGCGAUAUAAACACAGCCUUCUUGUUUUCCGUGUCUAGCAUGGAGGCAAAGAAUAAAAAGGCAGAGAUUAAAAAAAAAAAAAAUUCCCAGGACACCUGGGUGGCUCAGGGAUUGAGCGUCUGCCUUCAGCUCAGGGCGUGAUCCUGGUCCUGGGAUCGAGUCCCACAUUGGGUGCUCCCCACAAGGAGCCUGCUUCUGCCUCUGCCUGUGUCUCUGCCUCUCUGUGUGGUUCUCUCAUGAAUAAAUAAAUAAAAAUUUAAAAGUUCCCUGACUUUUUCAUGGAUAAUUGAUAGGCGUAUUUACAAGUUGAAAAUGGGGUAUCCAGUUGCACUUAGACAAAAGCAAUGAGAUAAUAACCCAGGCCUUCAACUAGGGUCUGAGAGGAGAUUCGAUUGCUUUUCAGCAACGGCAAUUAAAUUGAUUUAUCGUUUUAUUUAAUUGAUAGACUCUGAAAGUUAAAAGAACUUUCUGUUGUAGGUGAUGUGUGUGAGAUAAAGGAUGCUUCUUUCAAAUUACUUUUGAUAUUUGGAGCCAGUAUUUUAGGUAAAUGUCAAAGUAGUUUAGUUAAUGACUCUUGUUUGACUCCCACUCGGCUACAAAUAAAUUGGAAAUAAUUGGAUAUUUUGAGAAGCAGGAUAUUAAGAGAGAGGUGUACUUUCUGACCAUGAAGUACCUAAAUAUGUUUUCCAGGCACUGAAUUGUUUGGAGGACACAUCUGGUCCACCUACUGCAAAAAAAUAAAUAAAUAAAUAAAAGAGAGAGAUUUUACAAAUUUGGUGGGUAGUAGUCAGUCUUCUGCUUUACCCAUAAAAGGAAAUAAUCAUAUUCUUAUGCAAAAUCUUCUACCGAAACUGCCUACCUGUGACCACCAGUAUUCCUGUCUAUGUACCUCUUGUAAUAACUUUCUCUAAGCAUGGUUUUCAUUACGGAAAUUUUUUUCUGCUCAGAAAUCCAGAGAAUUUCUCCAACUGACUUUUGAAGUUUUGUUCUCUCACGUUGCUACCUUUCAUUGUAGCAGGUUGCUACCUUUCAUUUCAUUGUACUCUCCCAUUUGAACCCAUGGUCACUGCAGGCCUUCCAGUCCUUUAGCUUGAAGUGUUCCGGUGAUCCUUCCCACCUUUCCCCUUUCACUCUCCAGCUCCCCACCCAAGCCAGAUGAUCAUAACCUGCAUUCGUUUUCUGGCUUCAUGGCUUAUAAUGGUGUGACUCUGCCUAAGUCGCCUAACUCUGAGCAUCACGUUCCUUAUAUCUAUAAACUCGACAUAAUGCCACAUCGCAUUAUUGCAAUUAAAGAAACCAUUUGAAUAGGUCACCAUCUAUUACUUGCGGUUAUUAUUGUUAUAACUCUCGAAUGAUAGCUGUUAUUAUAAGUGUUCUUCCUCAAAUUAUUGAAAAUUAACUUUCUCCAGAAAAGCUUCCUGGUUGACCUCACUGAGCUCUCAUUUUCCCUUAAGUCUGUUUCAUCUUGGCGCCUGGCUUCACUUGGAACUUUAUUAUUCAUGUUGUUGUAUUUAUUCUUUAGCGAAUGGGAACCAAUCUUUGGGCACCUGUGAUGUGCCGGGUGCUGUGCUGGUUAUUAUGUAGGGAUCCAAGGGCGCAUGGGAGAAUGGAGUGUGUGUGUGCAUGUGCACGCACGUGCAGGCAUAUGGGCUUUGGGUGGAAUUGGGGAUGAAAAUCUGUUGGUCAAAUAGCACUAGGAGUUUUUCAUGAUCAACUAGGGUUAAGAAGUAAAAACGUUUCUAUUCAGAUGCCCUUUAAAAAUCUUAACAUCUUUUAGCCUGAGGUUUUUUUUUUUGUUUGUUUGUUUGUUUGUUUUGUGGUUUAAAAAGUAUGUUAUCCUUAUUCUUGGAACACUUUACACACGUUUUCUUCCUUAGACUCUCCUCGAUCCUCUUCCAAAUGCAGUGUGAAGGUAGAAAGUGAAGUCCUCCUUGAGCAGAAUGCCAAAAG
rnacentral:lncRNA from 1 species